UGUGAGGGUUGCUGGAGGUAUCAGAAGUGCGAAUGCUGACAUAAGUAACGAUAAAGCGGGUGAAAAGCCCGCUCGCCGGAAGACCAAGGGUUCCUGUCCAACGUUAAUCGGGGCAGGGUGAGUCGACCCCUAAGGCGAGGCCGAAAGGCGUAGUCGAUGGGAAACGGGUUAAUAUUCCCGUACUUGGUGUUACUGCGAAGGGGGGACGGAGAAGGCUAUGUUGGCCGGGCGACGGUUGUCCCGGUUUAAGCGUGUAGGCUGGUUUUCCAGGCAAAUCCGGAAAAUCAAGGCUGAGGCGUGAUGACGAGGCACUACGGUGCUGAAGCAACAAAUGCCCUGCUUCCAGGAAAAGCCUCUAAGCAUCAGGUAACAUCAAAUCGUACCCCAAACCGACACAGGUGGUCAGGUAGAGAAUACCAAGGCGCUUGAGAGAACUCGGGUGAAGGAACUAGGCAAAAUGGUGCCGUAACUUCGGGAGAAGGCACGCUGACACGUAGGUGAAGUGAUUUACUCAUGGAGCUGAAGUCAGUCGAAGAUACCAGCUGGCUGCAACUGUUUAUUAAAAACACAGCACUGUGCAAACACGAAAGUGGACGUAUACGGUGUGACGCCUGCCCGGUGCCGGAAGGUUAAUUGAUGGGGUCAGCGCAAGCGAAGCUCCUGAUCGAAGCCCCGGUAAACGGCGGCCGUAACUAUAACGGUCCUAAGGUAGCGAAAUUCCUUGUCGGGUAAGUUCCGACCUGCACGAAUGGCGUAAUGAUGGCCAGGCUGUCUCCACCCGAGACUCAGUGAAAUUGAACUCGCUGUGAAGAUGCAGUGUACCCGCGGCAAGACGGAAAGACCCCGUGAACCUUUACUAUAGCUUGACACUGAACAUUGAGCCUUGAUGUGUAGGAUAGGUGGGAGGCUUUGAAGUGUGGACGCCAGUCUGCAUGGAGCCGACCUUGAAAUACCACCCUUUAAUGUUUGAUGUUCUAACGUGGACCCGUUACCCGGGUUGCGGACAGUGUCUGGUGGGUAGUUUGACUGGGGCGGUCUCCUCCUAAAGAGUAACGGAGGAGCACGAAGGUUGGCUAAUCCUGGUCGGACAUCAGGAGGUUAGUGCAAUGGCAUAAGCCAGCUUGACUGCGAGCGUGACGGCGCGAGCAGGUGCGAAAGCAGGUCAUAGUGAUCCGGUGGUUCUGAAUGGAAGGGCCAUCGCUCAACGGAUAAAAGGUACUCCGGGGAUAACAGGCUGAUACCGCCCAAGAGUUCAUAUCGACGGCGGUGUUUGGCACCUCGAUGUCGGCUCAUCACAUCCUGGGGCUGAAGUAGGUCCCAAGGGUAUGGCUGUUCGCCAUUUAAAGUGGUACGCGAGCUGGGUUUAGAACGUCGUGAGACAGUUCGGUCCCUAUCUGCCGUGGGCGCUGGAGAACUGAGGGGGGCUGCUCCUAGUACGAGAGGACCGGAGUGGACGCAUCACUGGUGUUCGGGUUGUCAUGCCAAUGGCACUGCCCGGUAGCUAAAUGCGGAAGAGAUAAGUGCUGAAAGCAUCUAAGCACGAAACUUGCCCCGA
rnacentral:rRNA from 1 species